CACUGAUAAUGAGAACCUCUGGUGACGCCAUUACAAAGUCAUGAGGUUUAAGUGUGAGCCCGGGGACGGGAGGACGGAGGAACGGGGGGACAGGAGGACGGGGGGACGUCAUGGCAACACACUCCAGUUGGUUUCUAUAAUGUGUUUUUUGCUACACAGACAGAAAUGUAAUCUCUGUGGUUCUGGGACACUUGGGGAGCAGAGAGGAGAAGGUUGACGAGGGUAAGAUCGAGAAAGACGCUAAGGACCUGUAUGCUGCUGG